AUAAAACCGUUUUAGCGCUCUGUUUACGGUUGCCAAGCACCAAGGUUCGUAUAGAAAACGGAAGCGUUGGCCAUUUGCUGAAAGUUAUUCGGUGAUCACACUAGCAAACAUUAGCAAUAAAUAAAUAAAUAAAUAGAAUUUUGAUAACACUUUAGUAAAUAUGGCAAACCCUAAAGAAAAAGACCCUGUGGACAUAGUUCACCAGAAUGCUAUUCAUGUCGAGACAAUACUAAAGGAGCUGAGAUACCACUGAGUUUAACAUUAACCCCUUCAAGAAACGUGAGAGCAGAGCUUCACUUGUAGUACAGUAUCUAUGUCUCUGUAUUUGGCUAAAUAUGUAAAAGAGCCUCUUUGAGUUCACAUUCUGACUGACAAGCCAAUGUCCAACAUCACCUACAGAAAAGAAGAGGACCGUAAGUAUUUCCACCACGUUUGAUUUAAUACAGUUCAUAGUUUUCGGCAAAAUACCUUAGUUAACGUUACAACAUUUGUUAAAUCCACAAAAUAUGUUAAAUCCAUAUGUUAAAUGUUUUCAUUUUUAAUUAGUUCUUUUGAUGAUAGUGGUGGUAAAGUGAUUAUUAUUACCAUUAACUGUAUUUACUGUUUGGGCGUCUGGGUUUAAUGGUUGUAUAAAUGUAAUAUAUUGUACUUUGUGUAAAGUGUAAUGAGAAAAUAUUUUUGUACAGCUGCUUUCAUCCAAGCCAUACACAGGGCCUGUCUGGAGCCCACAAAAAAGUACUCUCACCCUCAGACUGAAGCUAUAGGAGCGACAGGAUGGUUAUCCAGUCCUUUAGAGAGUGAUGAAGAGGGACUGGAGCACAGGUUCAUGAAUGACCUUCAUAAAUAUACAAGCUUACUCCCAAGAGACUAA
ensembl:lncRNA